rnacentral:tRNA from 1 species
GGGAAAGUGGCUCAGUGGUAGAGCGCUUGCCUUGCAUGCAUGAGGCCCUGGGUUUGA